rnacentral:lncRNA from 1 species
CGCGAAUAAUUGAGUGGUGCUGGUGUGGGCGAUGACUGUUGCCGAUGCGCGUUCGUCUCGGACGUAGCGUAGCGAAGCAAGUGAUGAACAUGGUUCAUUUUUCAAACGUCAUUAUUAAAUGAAAACGAAAAA